CUGUUGUGUGUGGCCAGCACUGGAGGGGAUGGAAGAUUGAGAGGGAAGGAAGAAGGAGCAUGGGCUGCCCCUUACUCCUGGCUGGUCAGGUUGGUGUAGGCUACUCCCUGGAGUUCUGUAGGAAUUGUGACAAUACGACUUCCACAGCAGCCUCUGCAAAGCUGGCCUUCUACGCCCAAGUCCAUCACAUCCUGCGUGCAAUGGAGCCACCUUAUUUAUUUGGAAGGACUGUAAUCCUGUAAAAGAAGGAAAAUCCAGGUACUGCCUUGAAGGAGAGGCAAAUUUUCAUGGGGAGAAGUGAAGUGGAGUAUGCAAAGAGAAGGAGAUCCAGGCAGAGGACACAGCAUGGGCAAAGGACUGGAGAUGUGCAUAUUCGUGAAGUGCUUGGGAAGUGGCAGACUGGGACACUGGUCUUCUCCUUCCUUUGGACUCAGACUCAGACUUAGACUGGAAUUUACAACAUCAACUCACCUGGGUUUCCAGCUUGCCAACUUCAGAUCUUGGACUUCUCAUCUUCUAUAAUCAUGAUCUGUUCCAGAAGGAACUGCUGGAUCAAAGCAUGUGCGAACUCUUAAGGCUUCUGAUACAUAUUGCCAAAUUACCACUCGAAGGACUUACCAGCAGUGAAUGGGAGAACCUCUUCCCCAGGGUCCUGACCCACCCAACCAUAAACACACAAUAAGGAAGUAAGGGGGAUGGGGGAGGGAUAUUAAUGUUUUAAUUUGUUCUUUUGUUUAUAAGUAAAGAAAAAUUUGUUUAUUCCUUAUGA
rnacentral:lncRNA from 10 species